AGAGUUUGAUUCUGGCUCAGGAUGAACGCUAGCUACAGGCUUAACACAUGCAAGUCGAGGGGCAGCAUGGUCUUAGCUUGCUAAGGCCGAUGGCGACCGGCGCACGGGUGAGUAACGCGUAUCCAACCUGCCUUACACUCUUGGACAGCCUUCUGAAAGGGAGAUUAAUACAAGAUGUUAUCAUGAGUAAGCAUUUUCACAUGAUUAAAGGUUUACCGGUGUAAGAUGGGGAUGCGUUCCAUUAGAUAGUAGGCGGGGUAACGGCCCACCUAGUCUUCGAUGGAUAGGGGUUCUGAGAGGAAGGUCCCCCACAUUGGAACUGAGACACGGUCCAAACUCCUACGGGAGGCAGCAGUGAGGAAUAUUGGUCAAUGGACGAGAGUCUGAACCAGCCAAGUAGCGUGAAGGAUGAAGGUUCUAUGGAUUGUAAACUUCUUUUAUACGGGAAUAAACGGAUCCACGUGUGGAUUUCUGCAUGUACCGUAUGAAUAAGGAUCGGCUAACUCCGUGCCAGCAGCCGCGGUAAUACGGAGGAUCCGAGCGUUAUCCGGAUUUAUUGGGUUUAAAGGGAGCGUAGAUGGGUUGUUAAGUCAGUUGUGAAAGUUUGCGGCUCAACCGUAAAAUUGCAAUUGAUACUGGCAGUCUUGAGUACAGUU
rnacentral:rRNA from 1 species